rnacentral:lncRNA from 1 species
CGGCCGCAGGGCACGUGGGGGCUGCCGGCCCGUCGGGUGCCGGGGCUGCUGGCCCAUCUAGUGCUGCAGCCCCACCUGCUGCUGGUGGUGCUGCUGGUGGUGCUACUGGCACGAAGCGGCAGGCCGACCUAGGGAGCGGCGGGGCCACUACCGCAGAGCCGCCGCAGCAGCGGCGGAAGCUCGGACUAUCGGAGGACGAGCAGCCGGCGCAGCAGCCGGCGGCGCCGGAGGCGGCACAGGAGGAGGCGGCGGAGGCGGCGCAGCCGGCGGCACAGGAGGCGACGCAGGAGCAGCCAGCGCAGCAGCUGCCGCUAGCACAGCAAGCACCGGAAGAGCAGGCGGAGGCAGAUCAGGCGCAGCAGCUGUAGCAGCACCAGGGGCUAAGCCAACAGGUUGUGUGGGAUGCUGCGUGCUAGGUUGAUUGCGGCAGGGUUGAGUAGUUGCCGCAGCUGCCGCCGGUUGUUGGGCUGGCGCAUACUGCCAUAAUGUUGCGGGGCAUGAGAGUGGCGAAAGGCAAUGGGGUUGCGAGACCGUACGUGUUGCACAAGAAUGUGAUGUGCUGAAGCCAUGGCCCAACUAAGCGAGGCCCAGAUGCCCAACUAAGCGAGAGCUGCUUACUCUAUUGUGCUGCAGUCUGUGUGGCUGCUGGGAGAGUUACAAAAGUACUCAAGAACGUAACUUCAGACUCAUGCCGAUGACACUGCUGAAACCACAUUGAAGACUAUGCUGCGACGGUUGAGUGGUACCUGGUGUCGAGGCACAGUAGCAGGAGCGUCAGCUCUAUGGGGGCGCCAAGAGGCUCGGGAAGAAGCAUCGGUAGCCAAUUGAUUCAUGCAUGACUGCUAUGACGAAGUUUGGGGGCGGGGUCAGGGGCGGGGUCUUGUCUGCUCCAAUCGCGCCAAGGCAUGGGGUGGGGGUAUUGCAUCGUGGGGUGGCCAGCCCACCUUGUCUUUGAAGCUCGCUGGUGCCCCUCUGCAAGCUGCAUGUACUAUUUAAUGAAUCGUGACCAUGACAGCACGCGCUGUAAACGAGCUGAACUCGCGGGGUGGAUUCCUCGGUGUAUUGGACCGCGCACUGCAGCCGCGGUUAAGGACGCAACAGCAGCGAGCUAGGCAAACCAAGGCACGAAUGCGUAUGCUUGAGACGCCUGGGAUUGCGUCCGGAGCUGCCUGGCGAUUCCUCGGUGCCAAUCGCGAAUUCCUUUUUGCUCCCAAUCGCUUUUGAGUCACAACAUACAUUGUGAAGUCCCCCAUAUCGCAUCCACACGGCACACGGGCUGCAGGCUGGAGCCGCAGGAGUGCCGGCAGUGCCCGACCAGGUGGGGCUUGCGGUUGCUCGCGGUUACUGUAUUGGGGGUGGGGCGGUUACUUGCGCAGGCCCAUGACUAGCAGCAUUGAGGGCUGGCUGCACGGGUGGGUGGUAUCGGCGGAAGGACAGCGUUGAGAGAGGGCAGGCAGCGGUAGGCAGGCAGGCAGGAAGGCAGGCAGGCGGACUUGGCCGUACGCCAGCAGGGUGGCGGUUUGUCGGGGAGGCCCGCAGGGAGGUCCGGGGCUGGGCUGGGGGACGGGGCCUGGGCACGCGGACCGCGCAGCCGGAUGGGCCGGUAGCUCCAAGUGUGCUGGCAGCAGCCAGUUGCAGUUGACGCCUGGCUGGCAGUCUAGCUUUGCUCCAGACCUCGCCUUUAACCAGUUCCGUCCCUCGUGUCUCCCAUGGGCGCGCAGGCGGCUUUGAUUGCUCUGCAAAAGCAAGUGGCGGCAUGCCAAGCGCGUGAGGCGGCAUACCAAGCGGAGACUGAGCGGCUGAGGGCCCAGCUUGUGAGUGGCUGUGUGCACGGGGCGGUGUGCAUGGCCUGCUACUGGAGAUGGGUUUACUUGCGGAAGACUGCCAGUUCGGGUCAAUCUGCAUGCGACAUGUUAAUCGGGCGUCAGAGGUGGCUCAUCAAUUGCACCGCCACGCAUAUGUCCUCCGCCGCUGACUUGCACCGCCACGCACAUGUCCACCGCCGCUGACUUGCGUGUCCCAUCAUUCCACUGCUGCAUGUGGACAGGCGGCCGCAGGGCACGUGGGGGCUGCCGGCUCGUUGGGUGCCGGGGCUGCUGGCCCAUCUGGUGCUGCUGCCCCACCUGCUGCUGGUGGUGCUGCUGGUGGUGCUACUGGCACGAAGCGGCAGGCCGACCUAGGGAGCGGCGGGGCCACUACCGCAGAGCCGCCGCAGCAGCGGCGGAAGCUCGGACUAUCGGAGGACGAGCAGCCGGCGCAGCAGACGGCGGCACAGGAGGCGGCACAGGAGGAGGCGGCGGAGGCGGCGCAGCCGGCGGCACAGG